UUUUGUACCUUCUAAGGGACAUUGGAAUUGCCUUUGAAGAUAUCAACUACCAACAUAGAGUCACAUUCAAGCCAAAGAUUGGACCAACCUCUAUUAAAAGCCAUGUCUAAUGCUUUGAUAGCCGAAUGAAGCUCGACAAAAAGAGCAUUAUGCACCUCCAAAUAAGUUGAAAAUCAAGCUAAGACCAAGCCAUUGUGAUCCCUUAAUAUACCACCACCUCCUGAUGAUUUGGAUUUGUUAUCUUGUUGUCAUACAUCGUCUGUCUCAUUGUCUCAGGAAGGAUUUAAAUACCUGUUGAGAUACUCCUCUCAUUGUCAAUUGGUUUUGAGAUGAAACCUUGACAUGGUAUGAGAGUCAGGACCCAAUUUAUUUCCGUUUGUCAUGGGCCAAAAGAUGCCAUUUAGUUAUGGAUC